UACGGAGGUGCAAGCGUUAAUCGGAUUCACUGGGCGUAAAGGGUGCGUAGGCGGUCGGGUAAGUCUGAUGUGAAAUCUCACAGCUUAACUGUGAAACUGCAUUGGAUACUAUCCGGCUCGAGGAAUGGAGGGGAGACUGGAAUACUUGGUGUAGCAGUGAAAUGCGUAGAUAUCAAGUGGAACACCAGUGGCGAAGGCGAGUCUCUGGACAUUUCCUGACGCUGAGGCACGAAAGCCAGGGGAGCAAACGGG
rnacentral:rRNA from 1 species